rnacentral:rRNA from 1 species
ACAAUUUUCAGCGACGGAUAUCUUGGCUCGAGCACCUAUGAAGGGCGCAGCGAAGUGCGAUAAUCGUCGUGAAUUGCAGAACUCCGUGAACCAAUGGCCUCUUGAACGUGCAUUGCGCUCUUGGGAUAUGCCUGAGAGCAUGUCUGCUUCAGUGCUU